rnacentral:lncRNA from 1 species
AGUGCCAUCUGGUCGUCUGUGCAAGUAAGGGAUGACCUAAUCACUCAUGUGGGCCAUCCACCUCAAUACUAUAUGCAAAUAGGCAAUGCCCAAUAAUCUACAAAACCUAUUUUUCUUACCCACAACAAUGUGUCUCUCCCGUGGGCUUGUCCAUUUGGUUAUUAGUACCAAUCACCAGGCUGCAGAAAAUGGGGGCAAGAGCUUGACUAUUUAAUAGGGUGGUAUGCCUCGGGUGGAAGGCAUCCAUAUCCUUGAUGAACCGGACACGGGAUACUCUUUCCGUAUAAGUCGAAAACCGAAUCAAAAAGGAAAUACAGGAACACCAAAACUUACUAACCGAAGUAUAUAUACCAAAUGCCAGGGUCAGCUAUGUGAGGUUCCCAACAUGGUCAUGGGAUCUUCGAGCAUCGAUCCACAAGGGAGUAUAAAGGGGAUUGACAACCCAAGCUUUGUGGCUCUUGCAUGACCUCUCAUAAGGCCCAAAACCCACGCCUCGUUUUCUUACAUGUAUGUUUCAUGUCAGAUGGUGGUGUGGGUUUCGGUACGUCUCAAGUGGCAGGGCGGCUAGAGAAUUUAUUUUCUUGCUAGCCAUUAGGAUAUAUGUCACAAGUUAUGACAUGAUCUUGUGUGAGGAAAAGGGGAAGACAGAUCUCCGGUUAAAUGAUGUGAUCUCGUGUGAAUGGAAGGGUGUGGAUCUUCAAUGAUGUGAAGUGAUCAUUUUCAUUUUUUCAAAGCGAUCUCAUGUGAGUGGAGUGGGGGGUAAUCUUCAGUGAUGUGAUGGGUUUUUCACUGUUUCUAGUUAUUUCCAUUUUAUUUAACCAAUAGAAUCAAAAAGGAAAUAUAGAAACAACAAAACUUACUAACCGAAGUUUGGUAUAUACCAAAUGCCAGGCUCGGCCACGUGAGGUGUCCAACAUGGGCGUGGGACCAUCGAGCAAUGAUUCACGAGGGAGGAGAAAUAGGAUUGAUAGCCCAAGCAUUGUAUCUCUUGCAUGACCUCUCAUAAGUCCCAAGCCCACCCCUCGCUUUCUUACAUGUAUGUUUAAUGUCACAUGGUGGGGUGGGUUUCGGUAUGUCUCAAGUGGCGGGGUGGCUAGAGAAUUUGUUUUCAUGCUAGACCUUAGGAUAUAUGUCAUACGUUAUGAUGUGAUUUUCUGUGAGGAAAGGGGUAAGACGGAUCUUGGGUUAGAUGAUGUGAUCUCGUGUGAGUGGAAGGGUGUGGAUCUUCUAUGACGUGAAGUCAUAACUUUCAUUUUUCCAAAGCGAUCUCAAGCGAGUGGAGUUGGGGGGUGAUCCUCAAUGAGGUGAUGUGUUUUUCAUUGUUGCUAGUUAUUUCCAUGUUUUCUUAACCAAUUUAAGAAAAAAAAUGCAUAUCUAUCUUGAAAUACGGGAAAAAACAAAGGGCACAUCUACAAUGCUAGCAUUUGCUGGCUAGCUGUCCAUGGGGCACACCUAAAAAGUAAACAUCCCCAUCGAGUUCCAAUGAGUUUAAAAUGGAAAUUCACCCCAAAAAUACCACCUAGUCCUCCCACACAUAUUGGCCCGCCUAAAUACUGUAGCUAAGAGGCUUUUUGCUUUAGUGCUAAACAAAAUUUCUUCCUUUUGCACUUUAUUUGCAUAUGGAUGGUAUAGGCUCUAGGACAAUGAUUGUCUUGUAUGUCUUGUACACAGUUACCGCCUAAUUACAAACAACACUCUCCCAUGGCCCUAUUGUGACCUACUCUAUACAGCUAUAAGGACGAGUGGAUGGAUGAAUGUGAUCGGUGCGAGCAUAAAUAUGAGAAGGACAUUACUUUACUUUCCCUUGAUUGCACUAAACUUAAAUUAUUUUUAAUAUGUUCUCACACGUAACUACAAUUGUCUCUAUUGCUUUAUCUAGGUACACCACACAUUUGUGCAUGUGAAGUAUGAUUUCCUAUUGUAGUUUUAAUACGAGCAACGUGUGAGAACAAGUCAUAUAGUCUCUUAGGGCAUCUUUGGCAAUCCUCUAGAACCGCAGACACCUCGACUCUCGCUCCUCUAACUCAAACCCAACAUAAAUAUACUAGGGAUUUGAUAAGCCAUUAGCCAAAUCGGUAGUGUCCUAAGAUCGAUUUCAUCGUCCGAUGAUCCAUUUAGGGGACAUUUGGCCCGUUUGACAAGGAAACAUCCGCACAAUAUGGAUCUUCACCUCCACAUUGUAUGCAACUACGCAAGGCCUAAUAUUCUACAAAACAUCUUCUUCUCAACCAACCCAAUCAGUAUCUCCCAUGGGGCUUGUCUAUUUCGUGAUUUCUCCCACAUCAUGUGGCUACACAAAAAUGGGGUAGGGACCUUUUCUAUUUAAUAUGGCGGGGUGCCAAGCGCUGAAGGUAUCCACAUCCUUAGUUUGCCUAAUGCAUUCUACCCUUUUGGAAUAAAUUGAAAACAUAAUGGAACAACAAAUAUAGAAACACCAAAAUUUACUAACCUAAGGUUAGUUUACACCAGAUGCGAGGCUUAGCCAUGGCAGGUGACCAACUCGAGCGUGAGACCAUCAAGAAGCGAUCCACGUGGAGAAUAAAUGGGGUCAACAACCCAAGCAUUGCGGCUCUCGCAUGGCCUCUCGUAAGUCCCAAGACCCACUCCUCACUUUGCUUACAUGUGUCAUUUAUUUCGGACGGUGGCGAGGCUUCCGGUACGUCUCAAAUGGCAGGGUGGCUAGAGAAUUUAUUGUCGUGCUACUAUAAGUGCACUUAAGGAUAUAUCUCAUGCAUUACGACGCGAUAUUCCGUGAGGAAAGGGGGAAAACUGACCCAGAUUAAAUGAUGCGAUAUCGCGUGAGUGGGAAAAUGUAGAUCUUCCAUGAUGUGAAGGGAUUAUUUCCAUUUUUCAAAGCAAUAUCGUGGGAGCGGAGUGGGUGGAUCUUCUAUGACAUGAUGUUUUUUAAUCUUUAUUAGUUAUUUCCAAUAUUUCUUAACCAAUUUAGGAGAACAAAUCAUAUCCAACAUGAAAUAUGGGAAGAUACUAAGGAAACAUCUACAAAGCAAACAUUUAAUAGCUAGCUACCCAUGGCGCAUGCCCAUAAAAACAAACACCCCAUGAAGUCCUAGUGAGCCUAAACUGGAAAUCCAACACCGACAAUAUAUACAACCUGGUCCGCCUACACGUGUUGGCCCACCUAAAUAGUGUACUUAAGCGGCUUCUUGCAUCACAAUUAAACAAAAUAUCUUCCUUUUGCUCUUCAUUUGCUAAUUUUUGGUAUAGUCUUAGGCCAAUGAUUAUCUUGAAUCUUUUGUACACAAUACCUAAUUACAAAAACUUUCCCCCAUUAACCUAUUGUGGCCUACUCUAUACAUAUCGGAGGACGAGAGGAUGGAUGAAUGUAUUCCAGAGGAGGAAUACAUAUGCGAGGUUCAUUGCAUUACUUUCCCUUGGUUACCCAAAACUAAAAAUCUUGUUAUAUAUUCUCACACGUAAUUACAAUGGUCACUGAUGCUUUAUCCAAACACACCACACUUGUGCAUGUGAAGUAUGAUAUCAUAUUGUACUUGCAAUACAAGCUAACUGUUCUAAUGAGUCACAAUGUUUAUUCACGUAAGUAUGUAGUUUUGGUUGGAGAUCGUUACAAGAGGCGCUCCCCCUCGUGGUUGAGGAUAACAUUUCUUAUCAAACAAAUGUGUAUAUAUACGUUCACAAGACAUUGAUUUCUUACUUGGUGUUACGGUAAUAGUGUUUUGAUGUUUGGAUAGAGUGUUGGAUAGGCAAUGGAUACCACACUGGGCUCUAAAUAAUAAAUAACCCUGGCACACACAUUUUAGUACUAAUCAGUAAUAGGUUAUUUUUUCAUAUAAGUACAUAUGUUUUUAAAAAAAGUGUAUUUCACACUUUGUAAAAACGUCCUAAAUCCACUCUACACUUUCUUUUUGAAAAAAAUCGAACUUACAUUUUCGACAAAUAAACUUGCGCAUUUUGAGACUAACGUAGGCUUCGAAAAAAAGAAAGAUUUACCUAAGGCAUGGAAAAAGCAAUAAAUCAUUUAGAUCUUUGGUCAUAUAAGGUGGAUAGACAAUGAAAAGCCAUAAUAAGUAGAGUCUAGUUGAUCGGUCAUAAGCGGUGCGAGAGUCUCCAUUCUGAAAACUCCACACAUACAACAAAAACGGAAUCAAAACCAGUUUCGGAAGAAGUGUUGGGCACGGAACUGAACCUAAAGGCUGAACAUAAUAGUUCGCACUCAUAUAGCCAAACUCGAAAUCUUCUAUGUUUUUUUUCUAACGUAGCAUAUCCUCUUUCGUCCCAAUCUCCAAUUCUCAUCACCCAAAACCAACAAAGAUGCCACUUGGGCCUAUCGCCGUCCAUAAAGAACAACUCUAAGUUUCUCUUAACUUUUUCCCUUCAAUUUCUCAAUGUUACUUAUGGCCCAACUCCAUAUGACCACAUCUAAAUCCACUAGCACAAAACAAAUCAUGGCCUUCAAGAAACUAAGCACACUCUAAUACAACUUAUCAAGCCCUCGUCUGAGCCCCAUCCUGCUUCGGGACCCCUUUUCAAUUGCAAACAAGAUCAAGAAUUGUGAUGCAUAGGAGAGUAUGACCCAACCAGUAGUAGGCCCGCCUCUCGGAAAAAUAGUGCCGCCUACUCCUCUAGUCCCUCAUGUCCCGAGACGCACGAACUCUACAAGUGAUCUUCGAAGCAACAAGCAUGGUGCUUUCGAUUGGUGUUCAGCGAAAGAAGGUUCCACACCUAGCUGAAUUAACACCAACCUCCCGCUUGAUCUUGUUUCGUGAAACAAGCACAAACCUCUAGUUAAUAUUGUAUUGCCUAUGUGGAAAGUGUAGAAUUGAUACUCAUGUUGCUAGAUUCACAAUCUAUAAGAUUAUUUGGAAGUUCUCAUCCUUGUAUAUUUGUUUGGAUCUAUCUAGAUAAAGACUUUGAAGACUUUUGAGAUAAAUGCCUUAGUCAAGAAAUUUGAUGUGUUUUGUUGAAUAGACCAAACUUGUAUCUCUCAGCACAAACUUGUUUCCUCGUGAACCAUUGUAUCCUGCAAAUUAAGCAUACCCAAUUCGUAUCAUGUUAAAGGUUGUUUGUUCAAAGUCUUCUUAGUUAUGUUUCAUUCAUAUGUCGCGAUGUUGGUUUCUCUUUUUUUUGGCAGUUGUUGUGAAAUAUUAUGUUGUGCUUGAUUUUUGUGUUUCUCAUGCAUUUGGUCAUCAUAGUAAUAUAUAUCUAGUCGCAAUUCAUGGUUAUUAACCUAUGAUAUCGAAUAAUGGNGAGGAAAAGGGGAAGACAGAUCUCGGGUUAGAUGAUGUGAUCUCGUGUGAGUCGAAGGGUGUGGAUCUUCAAUGAUGUGAAGUGAUACUUUUCAUCUUUUCAAAGCGAACUCAUGUGAGUGGAGUGGGGGUGAUCUUUAGUGAUGUGAUGGGUUUUUCACUGUUGCUAGUUAUUUCCAUUUUACUUAACCAACGGAAUCAAAAAGGAAAUAUAGAAACAACAAAACUUACUAACCAAAGUUUGGUAUAUACCAAAUGCCAGGCUCGGCCACGUGAGGUGUCCAACAUGGGCGUGGGACCAUCGAGCAGCGAUUCGCGAAGGAGGAGAAAGUGGAUUGAUAGCCCAAGCAUUCUAUCUCUUGCAUGACCUNNNNNNNNNNNNNNNNNNNNNNNNNNNNNNNNNNNNNNNNNNNNNNNNNNNNNNNNNNNNNNNNNNNNNNNNNNNNNNNNNNNNNNNNNNNNNNNNNNNNNNNNNNNNNNNNNNNNNNNNNNNNNNNNNNNNNNNNNNNNNNNNNNNNNNNNNNNNNNNNNNNNNNNNNNNNNNNNNNNNNNNNNNNNNNNNNNNNNNNNNNNNNNNNNNNNNNNNNNNNNNNNNNNNNNNNNNNNNNNNNNNNNNNNNNNNNNNNNNNNNNNNNNNNNNNNNNNNNNNNNNNNNNNNNNNNNNNNNNNNNNNNNNNNNNNNNNNNNNNNNNNNNNNNNNNNNNNNNNNNNNNNNNNNNNNNNNNNNNNNNNNNNNNNNNNNNNNNNNNNNNNNNNNNNNNNNNNNNNNNNNNNNNNNNNNNNNNNAAGUGGCGGGGUGGCUAUAGAAUUUGUUUUCAUGCUAGACCUUAGGAUAUAUGUCACACAUUAUGAUGUGAUUUUCUGUGAGGAAAGGGGUAAGACGGAUCUUGGGUUAGAUGAUGUGAUCUCGUGUGAGUGGAAGGGUGUGGAUCUUCCAUGACGUGAAGUCAUAAUUUGCAUUUUUCCAAAGCGAUCUCAAGCGAGUGUAGUCGGGGGGGGGGUGAUCCUCAAUGAGGUGAUGUGUUUUUCAUUGUUGCUAGUUAUUUCCAUGUUUUCUUAACCAAUUUAAGAAAGAAAAAUACAUAUCUAUCUUGAAAUACGGGAAAAACAAAGAGCACAUCUACAAUGCUAGCAUUAGCUGGCUAGCUGUCCAUGGGGCACACCCGAAAAGCAAACAUCCCCAUCGAGUUCCAAUGAGCUUAAAAUGGAAAUUCACCCCAAAAAUACCAACUACUCCUCCCAUACAUGUUGGCCCGCCUAAAUAGUGUAGUUAAGCGGCUUCUUUCUUUACAGUUAAACAUUCUUCCUUUUGCACUUUAUUUGCAUAUGGAUGGUAUAGGCUCUAGGCCAAUGAUUGUCUUGUAUGUCUUGUACAGAGUUACCGCCUAAUUACAAAAAACACUCUCCCAUGGCCCUAUUGUGCCCUACUCUAUACAACCAUAAGGACGAGUGGAGGGAUGAAUGUGAUCAGUGCGAGCAUAAAUAUGACAAGGACAUUAAUUUACUUUCCCUUGAUUGCACAAAACUGAAAUUAUUUUUAAUAUGUUCUCACAUGUAACUACAAUUGUCUCUAUUGAUUUAUAUGGGUACACCACACAUUUGUGCAUGCAAAGUAUGAUUUCCUAUUGUAGUUUUAAUACGAGCAACGUGUGAGAACAAGUCGUAAAGUCUCUUAGGGCAUCUUUGGCAAACCUCUAGAACCGCAAACACCUCGACUCUCGCUCCUCUAACUCAAACCCAACUUAAAAAUACUAGGGAUUUGAUAAGCCGUUAGCCAAAUCGGCAGUGUCCUAAGAUCGAUUUCAUUGUCCGAUGACCCAUUUACGGGAUAUUUCGCCUGUUUGACAAGGAAACAUCCGCACCAUAUGGAUCUUCACCUCAACAUUGUAUGCAACUACAUAAGGCCUAAUAUUCUACAAAACUUAUUCUUCUCAACCUAUCCAAUCAGUCUCUCCCAUGGGGCUUGUUUGUUUCGUGAUUUCUCCCACAUCAUGUGGCUACACAAAAUGGGGUAGGGACCUUUUCCAUUUAAUAAGGUGGGGUGCCAAGCGUUGAAGGUAUCCAUAUUCCUAGUUAUCCUAAUGCAUUCUACCCUUUAGGAAUAAAUUGAAAACAGAAUUGAACAACAAAUAUAGAAACACCAAAAUUUACUAACCUAAGUUUAGUUUACACCAGAUGCCAGGCUUAGCCAUGGGAGGUGACCAACUCGAGCGUGAGACCAUCAAGAAGUGAUCCACGUGGAGAAUAAAUAGGGUCAACAACCCAAGCAUUGCGGCUCUCGCAUGGCCUCUCGUAAGUCCCAAGACCCACCCCUCACUUUGCUUACAUGUGUCAUUAAUUUCGGACGGUUGUGAUGCUUCCGGUUCGUCUCAAAUUGCGGCGUGGCUAGAGAAUUUAUUGUCGUGCUACAAUAAGUGAACUUUAGGAUAUAUCUCAUGCAUUACGACACGAUAUUCUGUGAGGAAAGGGGGAAGACUGAACCAGGUUAGAUGAUGCGAUAUCGCGUGAGUGGAAGGAUGUAGAUCUUCCAUGACAUGAAGGGAUUAUUUCCAUUUUUCAAAGAAAUAUUGUGCGAGCGGAGGGGGUGGAUCUUCAAUGACAUGAUGUUUUUUUAUCUUUGUUAGUUAUUUCCAAUUUUUCUUAACCAAUUUAAGAGAACAAAUCAUAUCCAACAUGAAAUAUGGGAAGAAACUAAGGACACAUGUACAAAGCAACCAUUUACUUGCUAGAUAUCCAUGGCGCAUGCCCAUAAAAACAAACACCCCAUGAAGUUCCACUGAGUCUAAAAUUAAUGGAAAUCCAACACCAACAAUAUAUACCACCUGGUCCACCUACACGUGUUGGCCCACCUAAAUAGUGUAGUUAAGCGGCUUCUUGCAUCACAAUUAAACAAAAUAUCUUCCUUUUGCUCUUCAUUUGCAAAUUUUUGGUAUAAUCUUAGGCCAAUGAUUAUCUUCAAUGUUUUGUACACAAUAUAUACCUAAUUACAAACAACUUUCCCCCAUUAACCUAUUGUGGCCUACUCUAUACAUAUCGGAGGAUGAGAGGAUGGAUGAAUGAAUUCCAGAGGAGGAAUACAUAUGCGAGGGACAUUGCAUUACUUUCCCUUGGUUACCCAAAACUAAAAAUCUUGUUAUAUAUUCUCACACGNNNNNNNNNNNNNNNNNNNNNNNNNNNNNNNNNNNNNNNNNNNNNNNNNNNNNNNNNNNNNNNNNNNNNNNNNNNNNNNNNNNNNNNNNNNNNNNNNNNNNNNNNNNNNNNNNNNNNNNNNNNNNNNNNNNNNNNNNNNNNNNNNNNNNNNNNNNNNNNNNNNNNNNNNNNNNNNNNNNNNNNNNNNNNNNNNNNNNNNNNNNNNNNNNNNNNNNNNNNNNNNNNNNNNNNNNNNNNNNNNNNNNNNNNNNNNNNNNNNNNNNNNNNNNNNNNNNNNNNNNNNNNNNNNNNNNNNNNNNNNNNNNAUUCUCACACGGAAUUAGAAUGUUCACUAAUGCAUUAUCCAAGUACACCACACUUGUGCAUGUGAAGUAUGAUAUCAUAUUGUACUUGCAAUACAAGCUAACUGUGCUAAUGAGUCACAAUGUUUAUUCACGUAAGUAUGUAGUUUUGGUUGGAGAUUGUUACACGAGGCGCUUCCCCUCGUGGUUGAGGAUAACAUUUCUUAUCAAAUAAAUGUGUGCAUAUACGUUCACAAGGCAUUGAUUUCUUACUUGGUGUUACGGUAAUAGUGUUUUGAUGUUUGGAUAGAGUGUUGGAUAGGCAAUGGAUACCACAGUGGGCUCUAAAUAAUCAAUAACCCUUACACACACAUUUCAAUAGUAAGCAGUAAUAGGUUAUUUUUUCAUAUAAGUACAAAUGUGUCACAUCCCUGACACCUUAAUCAAAUUAGCUUUGUGCUCAUGUUUUCUUUGCAUUGCAUCUAGGAAAUUUUCAACAAGAAUAAAGUAAGUGGUGAAGGAAAACUCAAAACCCUAGCCACUUCUCAAAAUAAAGGAAAUUUCAAACUAGUUAAAAUCAAUGAACCCAAAAUGGCCUCAAGAAAAGCUCAACUUUUCUGAUAAUUCUUGGAAACAAAUAAGCAAUGAAGUAAACCAUUUCUUUUAUACUCUUGGCAUUUUAAAUAAAUGCAAAAAGCUAUUGGUUUCAAGUUUAAAAUUUGAAAUCAGAAACUUUAAGUUUUCAAAAAUGUUGAAAACUCGAGGAAUGGUUGGAUAUAUUCCAACAAAUAUUCUGGUGUGUUCAAAAUAGUUUUUACAAACUAUUUUGGAGCUUAAAUAAAUAGCAAAUCAAUAGUUAACAAAACAGAAACAAAACAAAAAAGAAAGAGAAAGAAAAGAGGAAAGACCUUACCUGUCGACUGAGGAGGCCCAGCCCACCAGGGGCAGGGUCGUCUUCUUCCUCUCCCUUCUGGCAGAGGGGAGAUCGACCACGGCGGCCCCCUCCACAUCCUGCUUCGCCGUGGCGACCUCCAGAGCCCCCCAGGACAGCGCGACAGGGGGGAUAUCCACCCCGAGGCCGUCCCUAUCCAUUCCCCAGCUCUAGUUUCCCCCUCCUCCCGGGAUCUCUCCUCCCUCCUUCUGCCGCCAUUGCCAAGAGCUAGAGCACGAGCCGCCGCGCCUCUAGCCACAGGACCUCCCUUCCGAGUAGUCCAGUAGCUUCGCCUCGUCGAGCUGGUUCUCUCUGCAACGGCCGAAGUCUCCCCAAGCUCUACAACGUCCCCAACGCCAUCGUCUUCAACCUUCGGUCGCCGGCAAAUCGACGGUGAAACGUCGGCAACAGCCCCUCCCCGAGCAGUCUGAGCCUAGCUUCACCUCCACCGCAAGCCUGCGAUCAUUUCCCCUCUCCUUCCCCUCGGAUCCGUGCCCCCUAGCCACUGGACCAUCGAACCCGUACUCCGGCAGCCGCCCCAGCUCGUCGCCGGCUUGCUCCGACCACCUAUAGCCCUCCCUGAGGCCAACGCUGGAUGAGGUCGAGCCUGGAGAUCAGUCCAGUGCUCUCGGCAUCCUUUUCCGAGCACCACAGCACGAUAUAGCGUGUCUCCGGCGAGGUUCUGCCGCGGAUCUGGUCGCUGCCGGCCAGGCUCCGGCGAGGAACGAUGUGGCCAGCCUAACCAAGUAGUUUAAAGCCUAAACACUCACUUAGGGGCUGGUCAGCGCGGGAUUAGCCACUAAGACGCUGACAAGUGGGUCCCCCCUGUUAGGUUUGACCUGAUCAGGUCAGUUGACCUGCUGAUGUCAUGCUGACAAAAUAAAGGGGUUUUCCAGUAUAAAAAUAAUUCCAGAAAUGUUUAUAACUUCAAAAAUUCAUAGAAAUUAAUCUGUAACUCCAAUGCAAAUAAUUUAUAUAUGAAAAAGUAUCAGAAAAAUUCAAGGAAUCUGAAUAUGUCAUUUUCAAACAUGUUUGAAAAUGUUACAGAACCCAAACAUGUAGAUUAAUGAAUAAGUUAAUUCUUAUAAAUACUUUGUAUAUGGAAUUUGGCAAAUAUUUAAAUUUCACUAUAAAUGACAUGAUCAAACACUGUCCUAAUUACAAACCAGCAACCUAACAUGUCAUCCCAUGCAUGUUAAAAGCAAGUUGAUCUGAGCAUCAGGUCGAAUCAAUUUAAAUGGUAUCCGAGAAUACCUCGUUUGAAGUGAUAUUUGAAUUUGAUUCAAAUCAACUUCAAACCUAAUACAUGUUAGCUAUAAUAGUUUACCAUCUUGCAUUCUCAUGCCAUGCUCAUGCAUCAUCUUGAUUGCAUAUGUUUGUUAUUGAUUGUUGUCAUUCCUUUCGGUAGGCUCCGCUCCCCCGGAUUCCACCGAAUAUCCAUCUGACGGAUAUUGUCACUCCUCUGAGCAACAAGGCAAGCAACCAUUUUGAUCAUCCCGAUAAAUCCCAUGUUCUUGCUCCUACACUUACUUAUUGCAUUAGGAUCAAAUGCUUCAAAUGCUUUUGCCACGUUAGUUGAACCCACUUCCUUUGCAUGACCUAUCCUUGUCACAGUAAAUAGCUAAACCUUGCAACCUAGCAUACCUGGUAGUUUCUUGAGCCAUGACAUGCCUUAUCCUGCUAUGCAUGCUAUGCUUAGAGUUGUGUAUGGUCUGUCAUCUGGGGGAUGAACAGAAUUGUGAGAAUGUGUUCGGAAAGCAAAGGUUGUGUGUUGAACCUGAUUUGGUAAAGGUACCGGUGAAAGGCUGUGUAGGAGUACAUGGCGGGUUGUUUCAUUGGAACCGUCCUUAGGAACUGAGUUCCGUGUAUGUAAUCCAAGACUAGAUACUACCACACGUUGGGAUACUUAAUUGACCCUCUCGACUUAUUAAUCGCUUAGUAUUCGAUCCAGGAGUUGCAAGUACUUUCUGGUGUUUAUAGUCAUGCUGGAGGCCGUGCAUCGCGCUGACCUGAGAGGUGGGCUGUGAUGCGGUAGGCAGUGGCACGGUGUACCAAGUGGCACCCGGAUGGUGGGCUUGGGAACCCUGCGGACAUCGUUUGAGGCUGUGGCGGAAACCUCGGCCGGACUUCCAUACGGGUUACUCUCAGAUAGGCGAUAAACCUCGACUAGGUACUAAUGUGGUUAACGGUCGUGGCCGACUCCCUCGCUGGGCUUCCGCUUGAAGGUUGCCGAGGUGCAUGACGUGCACAUGGCGAUAAGUGGCGAGAGCGUGUGUGACGAAGUACACCCCUGCAGGGUUAUGAUCUAUUCGAAUAGCCGCGUCCGCGGAUAUGGACUACAUGGAGACAUAUGUUGUUCAUAGAUAACUUAAAUGGCUACUCAUAAAAUUGUCAAGAUAAGCGUGAGUGUCAUGGACGGCAUUUCCGUAUGGAGACGGAAUGAUUCCACGAUGGAGUAUUGUUGUGGUGUUAGUGGACUAGAGUGCGAGAAAUCAAGUUGUCAAAAUUAUUUAAAAAUGCAAGUUGUCUAGCCACGAGUCAAAUGCUGGCUUUCCGCAUGAAACCCCACAAUACCUUAUUGAUACUUUGCAUGAGUAGAUAGUUAUCUUAAAGUCUUGCUGAGUACCUCCGUACUCAUGUUUGCUGAAUAAAUGUUGCAGAGGUUUCUAAUGACCCUAAUGGAGGGUUCUUCAUAGACAUCGACGACGACGAGUAGCUGGUGUCCCAGCUACGAUCUGGCCCUAGGUUGGGUCUGUAGUAUAGUCAGGCCAUGUGCCUUCUAGUUGCACCUGUCUGUACUCAGACAAUUUUAAACACUUCCGCUGGCUUGUAACUGAACGACUGCUAUUAUGGGUCGUGAGACCCUUACUGUGUAAUAUUAUGUGUGUGGCUUUUCCGAGCCUCUUAAAUAAUGCUUGUAUGUUUAUGGUUAUGUUGUGAUGCCAUCGAUGUAUCUAUACAUAUCGGUAUGCCAUGCGUACGUGUGUCAUACUUGAUAUGUAUGGGGUUCGACUACCUAGCCGUGAACUUUAGUAGCACUCCUUACAGGGAAAUGCCCCUUUGUGAUCCAACGAGCCAUGGUAGCUCGCUACUUCUCCGCACACAUUGGUUGACCGACAUGUGUCCUUCUUAGCUGUUGUGUCUGUCCCCUUUGGGGAAAUGUCACGCGAUGUAAUGGAGUCCUUGUAGCUUGCUACGACUCGUCUACACUCGCUGGUGACCGACACCUGCUUUGUUGGGUCAUGUAUGACUGUCCUUGUGCGGUACUGCCACUUUGGUUUAUGACUAGACUUGUCGAUCCGGGUUCUUUGACAUUGGAAUGCUAGCGACACAAUUGCAUACGUGAGUCAAAAGGCGCAAACGGUCCCGGCUAAGGUAAGGCUGCAGCCGUGGAGUUAACCGUGCGUGAGACCGCAAAGGGAUGCGAUGUGUUACAGACUGGAUUCCUAUGGCUUAGGAUCGGGGUCCCGACAAUUUUUUUUCUAAAAAAGUGUAUUUCACACUUUGUAAAAACGUCCAAAAUCCACUCUACACUUUCUUUUUGAAAAAAAUUAAACUUACAUUUUUGGCUAACUAAACUUGCGCAUUUUGAAACUAACGUAGGCUUAGAAAAAAGAAACAUUUACCUAAGGCAUGGCAAAAGCAAUAAAUCAUUUAGAUCUUUGGUCAUGCAAGGUGGCUAGACAAGGAAAACCCAUAAUAAGUAGAGUCUAGUUGAUCGGUCAUAAGCGGUGUGUGAGUCUCCAUUCUGAAAACUGCACACAUACAACAAAAACGGAAUCAAAACUAGUUUCGGAAGAAGUGUUGGGCACAUAACGGAAUCUAAAGGCUGAACAUAAUAGUUCGCACUGAUAUAGCCAAACUCAAAAUCUUUAAUGUUUUUUUUCGAACGUAGAAUAUCCUCUUUCCUCCGACUCUCCAAUUCUCAUCACCCAAAACCAACAAACAUGCAACUUGGGCCUAUCGCCAUCCAUAAAGAACAACUCUAAGUUUCUCUUAACUUUUGCCCUUCAAUUUCUCAAUAUAAUCUGAUGGCCCAACUCCAUCUGACCACAUCUAAAUCCUCUAGCACAAAACAAAGCAUAGCCUUCAAGAAACUAAGCAUUCCCUUGCUCUCUAUAAUCGGUGCCGCUCUGAUUAUUCAAGUGAUCCUCAAAGCACACUCUAAUGCAACUUAUCUAGCCCUCGUGUGAGCGCCAUCCUGCCUCGGGACCAAUCUUCAAUUCCAAACAAGAUCAAGAAUUGUGAUGCACAACAGAGUCUGACCCGACCAGUAGUAGGCCCGCCUCUAGGAAAAAUAGUGCCGCCUACUCCUCUAGUAUGUCAUUGUCCCGAGACGCACCAGCUCUACAAGUGAUUUUCGAAGUAACAAGCAUGGUGCUUUGGAUUGGUGUUUAGCGAAAGAAGGUUCUACACCUAGGUGAAUUAACACCAACCUUCCGCUUGAUCUUGUUUCAGGAAACAAGCAUAACCCACUAGUUAAAAUUGUAUUGCCUAUGUGGAAAGUGUAGAAUUGAUACUCAUGUUGCUAGAUUCACAAUCUAUAAUAUUAUUUGGAAGUUCUCAUCCUUAUAUAUUUGUUUGGAUCUAUCUAGAUAAAGACUUUGAAUACUUUUGAUAUAAAUGCCUAUGUCAGGAAAUUUGAUGUUUCUUGUUGAGUAGAGCAAACUUGUAUCACUCAUCACAAACUUGUUUCCUCGUGAACCAUUGUAUCGUGCAAAUUACGCAUACCCAAUUAGUGUCAUGUUAAAUCUUGUUUGUUCAAAGGCUUCUUAGUUUUUUUUAAUUUAUAUGUUGGGAUGUUGGUUUCUUUAAGUUGUUAUUUGCAAUCUUUUUCUUUGGCAAUUGUUGGGAAAUAUUUUGUUGUGCUUGAUUUUUGUGUUUCUCAUGCCUUUGGUCAUCAUAGUAAUAUAUAUCUGGUCGCAAUUCAUGGAUAUUAACCUAUGAUAUCAAAUAAUGGACAUUCAACUAUGAUAUCAAACAAUUCUUCACUUAUUGGUGUACGCAUUUGCUAAAUUGUGAUUAAUGGAUUCAUGUUGCAUGUACAAAGGCACAAGCAUUUUCAUAGUGAUUGUAGUGGGUCGGUAGUUGAGCAGUUACAGGGGUGGAUAUAUAUGAGCAUAAAUUGUGAAAUAUAAUGGACAACUGUUAAAAUAAAUAUAGAAGAAAGAAAAAAAAAGAUAAAAAAUCAAAUCUUAAGGCCGAUGGUCGCCGAGCAUGGUGUUCUACCCCAUUUCGUAAGCACUCUAGGCGACACCUUGUUUUGUCUCACAAUAGUCGACACAGAGUCGCUCCCCUAAGGUUAAGGUGAGUACCAUGUGGUCGUGUGUGCAAGUCAAGGAUGACCCAAUCACUCAUGUGGGCCAUCCACCUAAAUACUGUAGGCAAAUAGGCAAUGCCCAAUAAUCUACAAAACCUAUUUUUCUUACCCACACCAAUGAGUCUCUCUCGUGGGGCUUGUCCAUUUGGUUAUUAGUACCACAUCACCAGGCUGCAGAAUAAUGGGGGAAGAAGCCUGACUAUUUAAUAGGGUGGUAUGCCUCGGGUGGAAGGCAUCCAUAUCCUUGGUGAACCGGACACGGGAUACACUUUCAGUAUAAGUCGAAAACCGAACCAAAAAGGAAAUAUAGAAACACCAGAACUUACUAACCAAAGUUUAUGUAGCAAACGCCAGGGUCAGCCAUCUGAGGUGCCCAACAUGGUCAUGGGAUCAUCAAGCAGCGAUCCACAAGGGAGGAUAAAGGGGAUUCACAACCCAAGCUUUGUGGCUCUUGCAUGACCUCUCAUAAGGCCCAAAACCCAUGCCUCAAUUUCUUACAUGUGUGUUUCAUGUCAGAUGGUGGUGUGGGUUUCGGUACAUCUCAAGUGGCAGGGCGGCUAGAGAAUUUAUUUUCAUGCUAGACAUUAGGAUAUAUCUCACACGUUAUGACAUGAUCUUGUGUGAGGAAAAGGGUCAGACAAAUCUUGGGUUAGAUGAUGUGAUCUCGUGUGAGUGGAAGGGUGUGGAUCUUCAAGGAUGUGAAGUAAUAAUUUUCAUUUUUUCAAAGCGAUCUCAUGUGAGUGGAGUGGGGAUGAUCUUCACUGAUGUGAUGGGUUUUUCACUGUUGCUAGUUAUUUCCAUUUUACUUAAUCAACGGAAUCAAAACGGAAAUAUAGAAACAACAAAACU